GACAGAGGGGGCAAGCGUUGUUCGGAAUUACUGGGCGUAAAGGGCGCGUAGGCGGCCUUCUAAGUCGAACGUGAAAUCCCCGGGCUCAACCCGGGAACUGCGUCCGAUACUGGAAGGCUUGAAUCCGGGAGAGGGAUGCGGAAUUCCAGGUGUAGCGGUGAAAUGCGUAGAGAUCGGCAGGAACACCCAGGGGGAAACCAGUCGACUGGGCAGCACCUGACGCUGAGGUGCGAGAGCGUGGGGAGCGAACCGG
rnacentral:rRNA from 1 species